CGACACAACUUGGAAGAGAAAUCAACUCGAAAUAGCCAAGAGAAUGUUCGAAAACCCCCUCAAAUCCGAUGCUUCCUUUGAUUCCAACCUCCAAAAGCCCAUCUGCUCAAAUCUUCAUUUCGAGGACGAGGACUCGAGGAGUAUUACAAGGUACCUCUAUAGAAUCAAUGGCUUCCAUGGAUUUUGAAACUCUUUACUUCUAAUAAACACCAUUGUAAUGUCUUGUUGUGAAAUUGUGUAAGGAACAAAGGAUAGUGAAAGCUGAAGAGUGGGCAGAGUUUAUGGAGUUUCAGAGUUUUUUUGACUAAGUGGCCUCUGUUUUUGAUUCUUCAGUGGUCAAUUUUGUGAUGGGAUUUGAUUGAAAUUGGAGAAUGGUUUCAUGAAAUCUCCUCUUCGGGCUGAGGUUGAUUCAUGACUCUUUCAUUUUUCUAGUGUCUCAUUGAUGAUAGACAUAAGAAGCACCAUUGCUGAAUCAUAUUGUUUGGCACAGUUCUAGUUGACCAUCCACAAGUGGAAUAGUUGGGAUGAUAAAGAAGCUUGGAAACUAAAGAUUCUCACUUUCACUAGUGAAUAAUACAUUCAUUUUUAAAAACGUUUUUUGUUCUGUUGUUUUAUUUCUUUCUAUAAUAUUUUA